AAAACUUUCAACAACGGAUCUCUUGGCUCUGGCAUCGAUGAAGAACGCAGCGAAAUGCGAUAAGUAAUGUGAAUUGCAGAACUCAGCGAAUCAUCGAAUCUUUGAACGCACAUUGCGCCCGCCAGUAUUCUGGCGGGCAUGCCUGUCCGAGCGUCAUU
rnacentral:rRNA from 1 species